rnacentral:rRNA from 1 species
UACGGAGGGUGCGAGCGUUAAUCGGAAUUACUGGGCGUAAAGCGCACGCAGGCGGUUUGUUAAGCUAGAUGUGAAAGCCCCGGGCUCAACCUGGAUGGUCAUUUAGAACUGGCAGACUAGAGUCUUGGAGAGGGGAGUGGAAUUCCAGGUGUAGCGGUGAAAUGCGUAGAUAUCUGGAGGAACAUCAGCGGCGAAGGCGACUCCCUGGCCAAAGACUGACGCUCAUGUGCGAAAGUGUGGGUAGCGAACAGG